rnacentral:rRNA from 1 species
GCCAUGCUAGUUGUGCGGGUUUAGACCCGCAGCGGAAAGCUCAGUAACACGUGGCCAAGCUACCCUGUGGACGGGAAUACUCUCGGGAAACUGAGGCUAAUCCCCGAUAACGCUUUGCUCCUGGAAGGGGCAAAGCCGGAAACGCUCCGGCGCCACAGGAUGCGGCUGCGGUCGAUUAGGUAGACGGUGGGGUAACGGCCCACCGUGCCCAUAAUCGGUACGGGUUGUGAGAGCAAGAGCCCGGAGACGGAAUCUGAGACAAGAUUCCGGGCCCUACGGGGCGCAGCAGGCGCGAAACCUUUACACUGUACGAAAGUGCGAUAAGGGGACUCCGAGUGUGAAGGCAUAGAGCCUUCACUUUUGUACACCGUAAGGUGGUGCACGAAUAAGGACUGGGCAAGACCGGUGCCAGCCGCCGCGGUAAUACCGGCAGUCCGAGUGAUGGCCGAUCUUAUUGGGCCUAAAGCGUCCGUAGCUGGCUGAACAAGUCCGUUGGGAAAUCUGUCCGCUUAACGGGCAGGCGUCCAGCGGAAACUGUUUCAGCUUGGGACCGGAAAGACCUGAGGGGUACGUCUGGGGUAGGAGUGAAAUCCUGUAAUCCUGGACGGACCGCCGGUGGCGAAAGCGCCUCAGGAGAACGGAUCCGACAGUGAGGGACGAAAGCUAGGGUCUCGAACCGGAUUAGAUACCCGGGUAGUCCUAGCUGUAAACGAUGUCCGCUAGGUGUGGCGCAGGCUACGAGCCUGCGCUGUGCGUAGGAAGCCGAAAAGCGGACCGCCUGGGAAGUACGUCUGCAGGAUGAAACUUAAAGGAAUUGGCGGGGAGCACUACAACNNAGGAGCUGCGUUUAAUUGACUCACGCGGACAUCUCACAGCCCGACAGUAGUAAUUGACGUCAGUGAUGACUU